rnacentral:rRNA from 1 species
UUAAGCUACAAAGGGCAUAUGGUGGAUGCCUAGGCGUUUCGAGUCGAUGAAGGACGCGAUAAGCUGCGAUAAUGUUUGGGGAGCCGCAAGUAGGCUGUGAUCCAAGCGUCUCCGAAUGGGGCAACCCGAUGGAAGUUAUGUUCCAUCAUCCGAAAGGAAGACAUACCUGGUGAACUGAAACAUCUAAUUAGCCAGAGGAAAAGUAAUCAAUUGAGAUUCCCCCAGUAGCGGCGAGCGAAGAGGGAAGAGCCCAAACCGGACGUCUUCGGACGACCGGGGUUGCGGACCGGCAUCAAGCGAAGACAAGUUAGUCGAAGUAUCUGGGAAGGUACAGCACAGACGGUGAAACUCCGGUAGACGAAAACUUGUCAAGUGGGCCGGUAUCCAGAGUACCACGGGACACGAGAAACCCUGUGGGAAGCCGGGUGGACCACCAUCCAAGGCAAAAUACUACGAAACGACCGAUAGCGCAUAGUACCGUGAGGGAAAGGUGAAAAGGACCCCGGAAGGGGAGUGAAAUAGAACCUGAAACCGUAUGUCUACAAGCAGUCGAAGCACAUUAUUGGUGCGACGGCGUGCCUAUUGAAGAAUGAACCGGCGAGUUAAUUUAUGUAGCGAGGUUAAGUGGAAGACACGGAGCCGAAGCGAAAGCGAGUCUGAAUAGGGCGAAAGUUACAUGGAUUAGACCCGAAACCACAGUGAUCUAUGCAUGGCCAGGUUGAAGCUCAGGUAAAAAUGAGUGGAGGACCGAACCCGUGAGUGUUGAAAAACUUUGGGAUGAGCUGUGCAUAGGGGUGAAAUGCCAAUCGAACGUGGAGAUAGCUGGUUCUCCCCGAAAUAGCUUUAGGGCUAGCCUCAGGCGACACAUAAAGACGGUAGAGCACUGAUCAGACGCGGGUCUGUAAUGGAUACCAACUCCAGUCAAACUGCGAAUGGCUUUAUGAGAAGAACCUGGGAGUCAGAAUGCGAGUGAUAAGACCCGUAUUCAAAAGGGAAACAGCCCAGAACGCCGACUAAGGUCCCCAAUGCUGUACUAAGUGGAAAAGGAUGUAGGACUUCCUAAACAACCAGGAUGUUGGCUCAGAAGCAGCCACCAUUUAAAGAGUGCGUAAUAGCUCACUGGUCGAGAGGCCCUGCGCCGAAAAUAUCCGGGGCUCAAGUACAGAACCGAAGUCGCGUCAUGCGCAAGCAUGGGUAGGGGAGCGUUCCAAGGGCGUUGAAGGUUGACCGGAAGGACAGCUGGAGCGCUUGGAAGUGAGAAUGCUGGUAUGAGUAGCGAAACGAUCAGUGAGAAUCUGAUCCACCGAAAGCCUAAGGGAUCCUGAGCAACGCUCGUCGUCUCAGGGUAAGUCGGGACCUAAGCCGAGGCAGAAAGCAUAGGCGAUGGACAACAGGCGAAAAUUCCUGUACUGCAUAAUGUUGUUUGAGGAUGGAGUGACGCAGCAAGGAGUCUGAGCAGGCGAUUGGAAAUGCCUGUCGAAGGCGGUAGGCUGGCAAGGAGGCAAAUCCCCUUGCUAAGGCCGAGAACCGAUAGAUAGAUGCGCUCUUCGGAGCAAAUCAAAUUCAGACGUACUACACUGCCAAGAAAAGCUUCUAACGAGACAUUAUGUACCCGUACCAAAACCGACACAGGUAGGCGCGGAGAGAAUCCUAAGGUGCGCGGGAAAACCCUCGUUAAGGAACUCGGCAAAAUGCAUCCGUAACUUCGGGAGAAGGAUGGCCAGAGCUGGUGAAGGUCGAACGACCGGAGCUGGAGCUGGCGACAGAAGAGAAGCCCAAGCGACUGUUUACCACAAACACAGGUGCUUGCUAAAGAGAAAUCUGACGUAUAAGUGCUGACACCUGCCCGGUGCUGGAAGGUUAAGGAGAGGAGUUAGGCGUAAGCUGAAGCCCCGAACUGAAGCCCCAGUAAACGGCGGCCGUAACUAUAACGGUCCUAAGGUAGCGAAAUUCCUUGUCGGGUAAGUUCCGACCCGCACGAAAGGUGUAACGACUUGGGCACUGUCUCAACGAGGGACCCGGUGAAAUUGAAAUACCUGUGAAGAUGCAGGUUACCCGCGACUGGACAGAAAGACCCCAUGGAGCUUUACUGCAGCCUGGCAUUGAUUUUUGGCAUGUAACGUACAGGAUAGUUGGGAGACGGAGAAACGUGGUCGCCAGAUCACGCGGAGUCAUUGUUGGGAUACCAACCUUUACGUGUUAGGAAUCUAACCCUGAGAUUAACAAAAUCGGGGACAGUGCCAGGUGGACAGUUUGACUGGGGCGGUCGCCUCCGAAAAAGUAACGGAGGCGUCCAAAGGUUCCCUCAGCGCGGACAGAAAUCGCGCGAAGAGUAUAAAGGCAUAAGGGAGCUUGACUGCGAGACCAACAAGUCGAGCAGGUACGAAAGUAGGGCUUAGUGAUCCGGUGGAAUGAGAGUGGAAUUGCCAUCGCUCAACGGAUAAAAGCUACCCUGGGGAUAACAGGCUAAUCUCUCCCAAGAGUCCAUAUCGACGGGGAGGUUUGGCACCUCGAUGUCGGCUCAUCACAUCCUGGGGCUGAAGCAGGUCCCAAGGGUUGGGCUGUUCGCCCAUUAAAGUGGUACGUGAGCUGGGUUCAGAACGUCGUGAGACAGUUCGGUCCAUAUCCAUCGCGGGCGUAAGAUACAUGAGGGAAGCUGCUCCUAGUACGAGAGGACCGGAGUGGACGGACCGCCGGUGUACCAGUUGUCACGCCAGUGGCAUAGCUGGGUAGCUGCGUCCGGAAAGGAUAAACGCUGAAAGCAUCUAAGCGUGAAGCCUGUCCCGAGAUGAAGUAUCUCAUGGAGUAAUCCAGUAAGAUUCCUUGAAGAAGACAAGGUAGAUAGGUUGGGAGUGUAAGCAUCGUAAGGUGUUCAGCGGACCAAUACUAAUAAAUCGAGGGCUUAACUUU